UCAGUCUUGGACAAAGAUUCAAAGACAGGUGCAAAAAUAAGUCCUCUUUUGCAACCCAGAGCUCAUUGUUAAGUAUGAGUUUUUAUACAUAUAAGAAGGAAUAUG
rnacentral:snoRNA from 1 species